rnacentral:tRNA from 1 species
UUUUUUGAUACUACCUAACCACUUAGCCCAUGCUGCUCAGGGAAAAGAGCGAAAAACCAGUCGCUUUAAAGCAGAAUUUAACCGUCGCUUU